CGGGCCGUGGCGCAGCUUGGUAGCGCGCUUGAAUGGGGUUCAAGAGGUCGCCGGUUCAAAUCCGGCCGGCCCGACCA
rnacentral:tRNA from 1 species